UUGUUGCUGAGUCUUUUGACGUGGUGGUCAAUGAUCCAGAGAAAGACGUCCUGAUCCAGUUUUACUCUCCGUCCUGUUCACACUGCAAGAAACUGGAGCCGGUCUACAGAGAGCUGGCUGAAAGGAUGUACUCUGAUCCAAAAAUGGUCAUUGCCAAGAUGAACGCUGCUGAUAACGACGUCCCGCUGGGAUACGACGUCCAGGGGUAUCCCACCAUAUAUUUUGCUCCAGUGGGCAGAAAAGACGAACCAAUAAGAUACGAGGUAAACACACACACACACACACACAC